GACGAACGCUGGCGGCGUGCCUAAUACAUGCAAGUUGAGCGAUGAAGCUUGGUGCUUGCACCAAUUUGAAGAGCAGCGAACGGGUGAGUAACGCGUGGGGAAUCUGCCUUUGAGCGGGGGACAACAUUUGGAAACGAAUGCUAAUACCGCAUAACAACUUUUAACAUAAGUUUUAAGUUUGAAAGAUGCAAUUGCAUCACUCAAAGAUGAUCCCGCGUUGUAUUAGCUAGUUGGUGAGGUAAAGGCUCACCAAGGCGAUGAUACAUAGCCGACCUGAGAGGGUGAUCGGCCACAUUGGGACUGAGACACGGCCCAAACUCCUACGGGAGGCAGCAGUAGGGAAUCUUCGGCAAUGGACGAAAGUCUGACCGAGCAACGCCGCGUGAGUGAAGAAGGUUUUCGGAUCGUAAAACUCUGUUGGUAGAGAAGAACGUUGGUGAGAGUGGAAAGCUCAUCAAGUGACGGUAACUACCCAGAAAGGGACGGCUAACUACGUG
rnacentral:rRNA from 1 species